UGCAGUCGAACGGUAACAGGGGAGCUUGCUCCCGCUGACGAGUGGCGAACGGGUGAGUAAUGCAUCGGAACGUGCCGAAUAGUGGGGGAUAACGCACCGAAAGGUGUGCUAAUACCGCAUACGCCCUGAGGGGGAAAGUGGGGGACCGCAAGGCCUCACGCUAAUCGAGCGGCCGAUGUCGGAUUAGCUAGUUGGUGGGGUAAAGGCUCACCAAGGCGACGAUCCGUAGCGGGUCUGAGAGGAUGAUCCGCCACACUGGGACUGAGACACGGCCCAGACUCCUACGGGAGGCAGCAGUGGGGAAUUUUGGACAAUGGGGGAAACCCUGAUCCAGCCAUGCCGCGUGUCUGAAGAAGGCCUUCGGGUUGUAAAGGACUUUUGUCCGGGAGGAAACCCUGAUCGUUAAUAGCGGUCGGGACUGACAGUACCGGAAGAAUAAGCACCGGCUAACUACGUGCCAGCAGCCGCGGUAAUACGUAGGGUGCAAGCGUUAAUCGGAAUUACUGGGCGUAAAGCGUGCGCAGGCGGUGAGAUAAGUCAGCUGUGAAAGCCCCGGGCUCAACCUGGGAACUGC
rnacentral:rRNA from 1 species